rnacentral:lncRNA from 10 species
ACGGACAGGCAUUAGCAAUGCGAGAGUACACAGAAGUUAAUUUCAAAACAAAUAAAGUGGAUGGAGCAAUUCAACAACUGUGCAUUCUGAAAUGCAAGUAAAUGACUUAUAUGCUCAAGUGAUUUGAAGCAUAAGUAUUGAUGACUUGUGUGGCUUUUAACCAUAUCUGGGAAACUCUCAUGUGAGUAUUUAAUCCAUUCAUACACAGCAAUUAUCUUCUAUAAUACCCUAAUGAGUGACUAGGCAGUGAAGUGUAGUGGAAAGAAUGCUUUUCUUGGUUUAAGAGUUAAAUAUUAAUAGUUGAAAAAAGACUUUUCCUGAGAGUCACCUGGUGGGAAGGGCAGAUGGAUUAGGGUUUGUUUAUCUGCUCCCCUUUUUAGUUCUGUUAACUUUGUCAGUAAAUACUUCGGAGCCUCAAUUUGCUUAUCUGUAAAAUGGAAAUCUCUAUUUUCUCACAUGAUUGUUGGGAAAAUAAAAUGUACUUAAGUGUACAUUGCACAUAGCCAUAUAUUUUUAAAUAUAAAAGGGGUCUUCAAAAAGUUUGUGGAAUAUGCUAUAAUGAACAUUAUGCCCAGAGUUUAAAACUGUUUUGCACCAAAAUGAACUUGAACUAACUUGUUAUAGCAUAUCCGAACAGGAUAUAGUUUGGGACACUAAGAAAGAUAAAACAUCAGUUUGAAAAGAACCCCUAUCAGAGCAAGAUGAAUUUUGCUAAAAUUAAAGCAAGAACAAACAUUAUGCUUAUAAAGAUUGGAAAGAAGAAUGGUGAAAUCAUAGUUGCUUUGUGAAAAGUUUAUGGGGACAAUGUCCCCCCAAAAUUAGCAAUUUACAAAUGGGAAACUCAUCUUAAUAACGGACAAGAUAAUGUUGAAAAUGAAGUCUGCAGCAGCAGACCAUCCACAUCAAUUUGUGAGGAAAAAAUUAAUCUUGUUUCUGCUCUAAUUGAAGAAGACUGACAAUUAACAGCACAAACAAUAGACAACACCAUAAGCUUCUCAAUUGGUUCAGCUUACACAAUUCUGACUGAAAAAUUAAAGUUGAGCAAACUUUCCACUCAAUGGAUGCCAGAACCAUUGUGCCCAGAUCAGCUACAGACAAGAGGAGAGCUUUCAAUGGAAAUUUUAAACAUGUGGAAUCAAGAUCCUGAAACAUUUCAUUAAAGAAUUGUAACAGAAGAUGAAACACGGCUCUACCAGUACUAUCCUGAAGACAAAGCACUAUCAAAGCAAUGGCUACCAAGAGGUCACAGUGGUCCAGUCAAAGAAAAAGUGAAUUGGUCAAGAGCAAAGGCCAUGGCAACAUUUUUGUUUGUUUGUUUGUUUGUUUGUUUGAGAUGCUAAAGACAUUUUGCUUGUUGACUUUUUAGGGAGCCAGAGAAAAAAUAUCACCUGCUUAUGACCAGAGUGUUUUGAAAAUGUUAGUCAAAACCAUAGCAGAAAAAUUCCCAGGAAAGCUUCACCAGAAAGUCCUUCUCUGCCGCAACAAUAUUCCUGCUUAUUCCUCCUAUCACACAAGGGCAAUUUUUCAGGAUUUUUGUUGGGAAAUUAUUAGGGAUCCACCUUAGAGUCAUGAUUUGGCUCCUUCUGUCUCCUUUUUUUUCCUGAUCUUAAAAAAUACUCAGAGGGCAUCCAUUUUUGUUCAAUUAGUAAUGUAAAAAAGGCCACAUGGACAUGGUUAAAUUCCCAGGCCCCUCAGUUCUUUAGAGACGGACUAAGUGGCUGGUAUCAUCACUUACAAAAGUGUCUUGAACUUGAUGGAGCUUAUGUUAAGAAAUAACAUUUACAUUUUUAUUCUUUCAAUUCCAUUUUUUCAUGAACUUUUUGAAAUCCUCUUAUAUAAUUUAUGUAAAAGCUGCUCAGAUUAUUGAGGAAAAGUUUCACCAAGUUAGUUUUAAUAGGACUCAAAUAGGAACAUUCUCAUCUUCCUAAAAUAAACAUGAUAAAAUUGACACUUAACCCACC